CACGUAGUUAGCCGUGGCUUUCUCGUUAGGUACCGUCACGGUAACGCCAGUUACUGCGCUACUUGUUCUUCCCUAACAACAGAGCUUUACGACCCGAAGGCCUUCUUCGCUCACGCGGCGUUGCUCCGUCAGACUUUCGUCCAUUGCGGAAGAUUCCCUACUGCUGCCUCCCGUAGGAGUCUGGGCCGUGUCUCAGUCCCAGUGUGGCCGAUCACCCUCUCAGGUCGGCUACGCAUCGUCGCCUUGGUGAGCCGUUACCUCACCAACUAGCUAAUGCGCCGCGGGCCCAUCCUGUAGCGACAGCUUGCGCCGUCUUUCAACGAAACGUCAUGCGACAUUUCGUGUUAUCCGGUAUUAGCACCGAUUUCUCGGUGUUAUCCCCGUCUACAGGGCAGGUUGCCCACGUGUUACUCACCCGUCCGCCGCUAACGAAUCAAAAGCAAGCUUUCGAUUCGUCCGCUCGACUUGCAUGUAUUAGGCACGCCGCCAGCGUUCGUCCUGAGCCAGGAUAC
rnacentral:rRNA from 1 species